UGUGCAAUGGCUGCACGGCAUGGCCACCCUACAAAUCAAAUCGGUUGAUGAUGGCAAUUAGAGAGCGUGAAGAGCCCUCGACUGACUGGGCCACAUUCUCCUGUCAGGUGAUGGCAUCAUGUUUGACAUAUGAAGAUGCAAAGUACAAAGAAAAAAAAUUCGGAAGCGACGUCCGACCUAACAUUGAAUAAUGAAGAGCGGGAGAAGAGAAAAAGGAAGAGACUGCAGCAUACUCUUUCUUCAUUUGAGGAUGAGGACUUCUAUGACCAAGAUGAACGACGUAACACUCAGCCAGCCCCUCAACUUCCAGAACGUGCACCAGAGCCCAAGCAAAAAUGCACACGUGUAUGUUUGCUUUUUGUUGCUGCAAUUUCUUAACGCUUU